rnacentral:rRNA from 1 species
UACGUAGGGUGCAAGCGUUGUCCGGAUUUAUUGGGCGUAAAGAGCUCGUAGGCGGCUUGUUGCGUCGACUGUGAAAACCCGCGGCUUAACUGCGGGCUUGCAGUUGAUACGGGCAGGCUAGAGUUCGGUAGGGGAGACUGGAAUUCCUGGUGUAGCGGUGAAAUGCGCAGAUAUCAGGAGGAACACCGGUGGCGAAGGCGGGUCUCUGGGCCGAUACUGACGCUGAGGCUCGAAAGCGUGGGGAGCAAACAGG